GAUGAAAGGGAGAGAUGGAAUCAAUGGACAGGGAUUGGUGAGGGAGAAGGUGAGAAAGGAGGAACGUUGAUGAGGUGGAAACAAAAAGAGUGGGUCCCAGUUUCUUAAAAGUUCACUUUACACGCAACCCUCCCUGCGAGGGUUGCAGCGUAUAGUUCGGUCCAUGUGUGGUGGUCUGGAUGGGAAAAGACGAAAAUGGGGUUAAUGAAGAAUGGAGUGGGAAGGGCAAAUCGGGAAAGAAAGUGAGGGAGAAGGAGUUGUCGCAGUCAGAAAAAGGGGUUAGUGCAGUGGAGUGCAGAGAGAAGGGACGAGUGAGGGAGCAAAGCGUGACAGAGUGGUACGUAUAAACAUUGCCCUGGUUGUACUAAUGUACUCUUUUUUUCUAUAUUGUUAUAAUUAUUUUUUAUAUAUUAGAUGAAUUAUUAGAAGGCAUGGUUAACAGUGAAAUGAAAAAAGGACAAAAAAAUAAUUAAUGUUAAGAUUGAGGGAGAUCUGCAUGAUGAAAUUGGAAAUGAGAAAUGAAAAAUGAGAAAGAGAAUGAAAGAGAGAGUUGAGUUGGAUGGGAGGGAGAAGAGGCCAUACUGAGAUACUGAUACUGAUACUGUGUACUGAACGCCUAAAAGCAAUGUAUGAGAGCCAUAAGUGGAUGGGCCUCAUGUGCCCUUUCACUCUCUCAGUCGCAUCACCAGACAGUAUCAAGCCACACGACCCCCACGUGUCAGACAUCCUAACCUGAUUUUUUACUGCUCCCACGUUAAUUUGUCGUCCCAGGAUGUCUCUUCUUCACGCGCUUUCUUCUUUUCUUUUCCCUCACCGCCCAACCCAACACGACAUUCACACUCCCUCAACAACACACCAACAUUAAACACCUCUUCAAUGGAUUCUCUCUUCUUUUUAUUUCAAUUUCUUAUUAUGUGUGUGACUAAACAGUGAGUUGGAGAAGACAGCAGUAAACAGUGUGUGUGUGUCCAAUCUAGUAGCAACUUACAAACACUAUCAAAAUAUAUAUAACACAUCAAACAUGAUUUAGACAAGGGGUAUGCUUAGAUUUCUGUAAGAUCUUCUGUCCAUCAACAAAGGAAUGAAUAACUUUUUUUAAGAUACACUUAAACCUAGCAUAUUAAAAUACAAUUUAAUUAUUAAAAGAAGUAUUUUUAUUUUUAAUAUUAUUUUAUUCUCACUAAAAUAAGGUAUAAAAUUCAAUAAAUUAUGGGACAAUUAUUUUAUUCAAGUGUAGGUAGCCUAAUCCAUAAAAACUCCAUGGUUAAGCGUGUUUAGCCUGAAGAAAUUAUGGGAUGAGUGACCUUUCGAAAAUUUUUUGGAAAGUGUACAAGUGAGGACAAAAAAUCGGAGAAUUCAAUUAAGGAAAUACCAUUUUCAAAUUGUAUCAUCAAUUCUAUUAUCAAAAAUUUUAGAAAAAAAAAAUGAAUGAUAAAGAAACGAAACACGGGCAAGAAAGGGGAGUAGAGACCACUCAAUAAAUGAAAUAGUAAAGGCUUGGUUUUCUUUUUAGUUUUUUUAGAAUUCUUCAAAUUGAGUUAUAGAGGUAAAAAUAGAAAGAGUUUUAUUUUCAGAAAGAAAAUACGAAAGAAAAAUACUUAAGUCAUUGUUUAAUGGAUUUGAUGAUUUUAUUGCUCUAUUUUACAUCAUAAUUUUCGAAAUACAUAACAAUACACUGGAAAGCCUCGUGGUGAUGUGGGGGACAGUCAACAAUCCCUGUAAGUUACCGGAACUUUACAUUAAGACAACUUGCU
rnacentral:lncRNA from 1 species